UAACUAAAAAUGAUAACAACAACACAUACACUACUAAAAAUAAUGAAACCCUAAAAAUUAACUUUCAAACCCUAAAAGCUAAGGCGCCAUCAGCUUCAUCUUCUCGAAAGCUCUUCUCGAACCCAGCCUUGGCAUCGUUCAUCCAUCUUCAGCGUUUCCAGCCUUGGCGUCGUUCAUCCAUCUCCAUCAUCAUCUUCUCGAACCCAGCCUUCAUCAACAGAAAACCCUAACCUCCAUCACGCCACCAUCUAUCUCACUGUCGCCACCCUUCACGCUCAAGAUCGCUACCAGGUUCAUCGUUGUGUUAGCCAACUCGCCAUUCCUCUUGCUGUCCUUCUUGCCAUUCUGGUCGUCGUGCUGCUCGCCUCUCUCUGUCGCGGUUCUGCUCGCCUCUCUCUGUUGCAGCUCUGCUCGCUUCUCUGUCGUGGUUCUGCUCGCCGUGCUGCUCGAAGACGAUAAAUCUGGCUGCAAUUUGCACCCCUGCAGAUUACAAUACCCGUCCCCUAGACACAAUUUACAGCAACUUCAUCGAUGCUCUCCCUGUGGUGAAGUACUGCUCUGAGAAUAACAAGAGGCUUAUUCAUUAACAUGUGAUUUGAAAAUUUUUCAUGUUUAUGUUUAGGAACUACAUGCAGUUAUACUUAGGAAUUGAGAGCUAGAGAAGCUAAUGAAGAGAAGUAUUCUGAUCCUUAUUAGCUUUGUAUUCAUCAAUAAGUAACUGGCGUGGGCUUACGCACGAUUGGAUUGAAUGAUCAAGAUUGAUGGUUGUUGUGUUGUUUUAUAUCCUGUUCCUAUAUAUUUUUAUUUUAUGAGGACCAUAUAUAAAUUUGCCUUACCAUGUAGGCCAAUCCAGAAGAAGAUAAGUUGUCAUUAUUUCUUGAUUAAUUAUCAGUAUAGAAAUACAAGACCAAGUCAUUUUUGUUCUUUUCUUUUUCAUCCUAUGCACAUGUCCUGUAUCGGGUCAAGGGAUGGUGGUAUUGCUUUCCAUUCUAUUCUAUAUUACGUACGUACGCCAUUAUUGAAUAAUAAUAUCUUCAAUAAUAUCCAUGUCAGAUAUAACAUUAUAGAAUACAUAGCCAUAUAAUUUUGCAAAGGGAGUUGGAGGCCGUGGGAAGAGGUUGGUGGUGCUUGAUGAAAUGCACAAGAGGGAUAUUUUCAUCCGUGCAGCUGGUGGAGCCUCCAUCACCAUUAGAGGGGUCUCUGAGAACAUUCCUUGUGAUAAAGGGGAUAGAAUAAGAUAUCUGAGUUGUUAAAUCAGAAAUCGGCAGUGCAAGGGAAAAUACCUUCUGGCUAUUUCAAUGCUCUUAUUGAUUUAAGUGGUGACUGGUUGAGGGAUGCUGCUGACAUCAAGUAUCUUGCUUUUGAUGGUUAUUUCAUUUUGCUCUACUAUUUACAUCUAACAGCUUCUCCACUUGUGCUGCAAGAGGAAGUUAAGAAGUCUGUUCCUGCUCAAUGGGACCCGACGACAUUGUCUAGGUAAACACCACGCCCCUACUACAUUUAGUAAGUAGAGUGGCGAAUUCACUAAAUUGAUCUUUGUAUUCCUGGUAUAAUUAUUGAGUGUCUUGAAUUCAAUUCGUUGUUGGUUGUUAUACAUUCAUCAUUUUGGCGAUCCUACGAAAUUUAGCCCAGUUGUUGUCUUGUUGAUGAACCGAACAGACUAAGGAAAGAGUUUCGACAUUGAUAGCACCCAUCUCAGUUGAUGUGGAGUGAUCUUGACAGUUUGAUAUGGUGUUUAAGUUUGGGUUUCUAUGUUGAUUCGUACGUGGUGCUGAUGAAUUUUGUUAGGCAGGUUCAUUCAGACAUAUGGUACACACAUAGUAGUAGGUAUGGCUGUUGGUGGUCAGGAUGUAAUCUGUGUCAAACAGAAGCAUUCUUCAAAGAUUUCUCCUGAUGAUCUUAGAAGACAUUUAGAAGAUCUUGGAGAUUUUCUGUUUUCAGAUGUAAGGAGUCCUUCUUUACUACAGAGGCAAACAGCCGAUGGCAAACAGAAGCCCUUCCUUCAUUACAGACUUGGUAGAUGCAGUGAUAAAAGCUCUUCCAUCUUCAAAAGCAAUGUAUGCAUCUACCAGCACUUCUGAAGAAGAGCAUGACCUACUUAGAGUUCCCAGGAUCAAGGAGACACGGUUGAUUUUUCAGGACCCUUAAUAUCUCAAAUGCACAUUGUCCAUGAGAUCUUAGAAAGACAUGAGCGACACAUACGGCGUACUAUCCAGCGAUUGUGCAAAAAUGAUAGAACUUCUUCCAAGAGAUAGAAUAAGUUAAUGACUUUAUAAGUUUUAUAUGUAUUUAUAUUUUUUAUCCCAAUGUAUUUUAUAACUACUUUGGUUAUAAGAGAUGAUAUAGCUAAUUUGGUUUGAAUUUUAUUAAUGUAAUAUUAAUUUUC